UUUUUUUUUUUUUUUUUUUUUUUUGUAAGUGGGGAAGGGAUGGAUUAUAAUUAGUUCCCAAGGCCAAAUCUAAUUAAUAUAUUUUUACUACUAAGAUUUAAUUUAAAAUUAGGUUGGCCCAUUCAAAGUUAUAGAGUGAUCAAAUUUCUCCACAUUACUAACGAAUUUAUCUAUCUAAAAACAAAGAGCAAACAACGAAGAAAAAUGGAACAAAUCAAAAUAAGGAAAUUCCUAUUUAAUUUUAUUAUUUGUCAUCUUUUGCUUGUUGAAAUUUGUUAUAUUCUCUGUGGCAUUAUUAAACAAUGAAUUGAUAAAAAGUACAAAAAAAUAUCUCUCUUUUAUUAAUUUCCCUUGAAAAUAAUCAAAUUCAUGUUGAAUUAGUUUUAUGUUUCUAUAUGUUGCUUUCGAUUUAUUACAUUUGAAAUCAACUAUUCAUGAUGAUAGUUAUAGUGACAACUAGGGAAAAAAAAAGGCACCAAAAAUUUGCAAAGAUUAGGUAAUACUGAGCUGGUUAUCAAUAAAAGAACAAAUAUGAUUGAGAAAGUUUGACUCGCGUGAGAGACACAAAUAUAAAAGCGCCAAUAACGCUGUCAAUUGAAAAAAAAAAAGUAUAUUCAAUAAUAAUAAAUCGAAAACAUACAAUUUUAGUUGUUUGAGAUCCCUGAAAUUAGAGGUCAUGAAUUCAAAUCCCCUUCUUAAACCCCACCCUUGCCUCGCUAAAAGAAAAGUUUUCUGUAUAUAUAUAUAUAUAUAUAUGUAUGUAUGUAUGUAUGUAUAUAUGUAUGUAUGUAUACACCUUGUACAAUCAUAUAAGUUUUCUUUUAUUAUAGUUUCAUUUAAUAUUUUGCAUCCUAGAACCUAAUAUCUUUGUAUAUCUUGUAUGGUUAUCUAUGACAUCUAGGGACAAAACCAGAUAAUAUACUCUGACGAAGCUAUUUUUAUACACAUGCAAACUUUGCAGUCAAGACAUGAGUUUUUGGAAGUUUUUUUUGGUCUUGAGGGAGGGGGAGUUCAAUUCAUAAAGAACACUGUUGAAAAUUUUCAAAACUUAAAGGGGAAAAACAUAUGAUUGGGAAGGACUUUGGUUUGGUGGGCGGUUUUCAUAGUAGAUGUGCGAUAAUUUGCGUCUUCCAACGUCCAACCUACCUAUUGCACUUUUUCCUUCCACACCUGUCUACUAUUUGGUAACCAAUCCAUUAGGGAAUAGGGAGUCCAUUUCGAAGUUUACUAGGCCAGGAGUUCCCAUUCCCUAGUUUCCCGCUGGAGAAUAAGAUAGAAGUAAAAGAAAAGAGACGGAGUGAUGGACCCUAUAUCCACGCUGCAGCAUCGCUUUGGCGAAACAGCAGCUCAAUAGUCUCCCUUCACACGCAAUACUAUACUGCUAGGACUAAAAUUUUCUCGUUUCUUUCACGUCUAACAACUCUCUUUCCCAAAUCUCCUGUUAUCUUGGAGAGGAAAUGCAAGUGAUACCCAGAUGGAGAAGUAUAUUGAUUUUGAGGAAUUCAGUGAUUCAGUCAACAGCAAUUGCAUCAACAUCAAGAACCCAGCUGGCUGAUUUUCAUUCUACAACAGUUAGCCUUGAGAGAUGGAACAACAAAUGGCCUUCUGCCGGUAAAAAGACCCCUGUGAGUAUAUUUCUUUAGCACCCAGAAUAUAAGAAUCCCAUUUCAUAUAUGAGGAAAGCCCUGUUCGUUUUUCAUGUUCAGAAUCAAAACUUUGCUUCUUGUUAUCUGAUUACUUACUAAUGAUGGUUCUUAGCUUAGGUGGUGAUGUGCUAAGAUAUCUUGGUUGCUUGAAUAUUGGAAUUUUGUUGAAUGUGUGCUGUUGUAUUGUACAUAUGGAAUGACAGUUAUGUUGUGGUGGUAAAUUGUCUUUUUUGGACUAGAACCAUAAAAGGGGAUGAAGGUCUCAAAAUAGAUUUUCAAUUUUACAUGUUAAAGUCUGAAAUCUAGAGGUGCCAACUUGCAUGGUGUAAUGGCCAAUUUUAGGUGACACUGGAUGCUGCUUAGUUGUUUGAAUCAAUUUCAGUGGCCUGAGUAAUGUCCAAUGAGAAUUUCUUUUUGUUAUUUGAGUUGCACUGACAUAAAGAUUUGAACUUGUUCACAUUUUUCGUAUUUCUUUCAUCUUCCUUGAUUUCCAGGCGUGUAUCAGAAAAUGAAAUGAAUCUUGGUGUUUAAAAAUGUUUCAGGGGAAUAGUUAGCCUAUUAGUAUUCUUUUCAAUUUUCUAGUCCAUUGUGCAUAGGUAGAUGAAUAAAAAAAUCUCCAAUUUUUUCUUUCUUAUCAUCAUCUUGCAAAUUUGAUAAUCAGUGAUUAGGAUGGUGGCAGAUUGUUAUCCUGGCUCUUCUUUUUGUUUCCACAGAUGAAACUACCUUACCCAUAAUCACUUGUUUCAUGAACUAAUUUCUACAAAGCCUUUGAUACUUUUUGAAACGCUUUUCAGAAGAUGCCCUAGAUUCUGUUUACAAUGAUCAGGAUUGCAGCAAUUAUUCAUAAUUAUUGGACCAAGAUUAAUGGAUUUAUCUUUAGGAUGUCUAAUUUCAUAUGUGUUUGUUGGGGGGGGGGGGGGGGAGGAUACUUCAUUACGUUAAGAAAUGGCAGAGAAAUGCGGUUGUACUUAGUAAGACAAGGCAAAAGACAAUUAAACUUUUUGGGUGCGAAGCCGUUAAUACUAAUGAUCAUUUAUUUGUCAUGUAUGAGCUAAGUCCAUUUAUCUGUUGUAUGUGCUUGUGCCCCUUGGUUGAUUUUAGUUGCCUUGUUUUGAUGUCUAUCAAGCAUUCUCCACUUACCUGUUAUAGGUUAGUCCUUUUUAUUUGGUUAGUUUAUUACUAAUUUAGAAGUUUGACAUAUAAUGUCUGCAGGAUGUGAGAAGUGGCCAGAAACCAUCUAAGGUAAACUCCUAAAUAUAACGUUUUAAAAUUUCUAGCUGCUUCUCUGAACAUUCAAACUGAUUGUCAAGUUACCUGUUCCACCCCCUCAAAAGAAGUCUAUAUUUAUUGGAAAAUCUAAAAUUUGGAAUGACCGCUUUGAUGGUGGGUAAUUUUAGCGGGGUGUCCAACUUGUUUGUUAAUACCAUGUCAAAGUCAAAAGGAACACCUCAAACUUUAGUUCUGUUGUUGAUAAGGAAAUCUUUGAUCCAUUCUUUUCAUGUGCAAAAUGUUGUAUGAUGUCCUUUGACUUACCUGAAAUUCCAAAAGGUGAUAAAUUCGAUCUAAUAAAUUAAAAUAUAAAGAUCCGUAUUCUUUUCCUUUCAAGUUUUCUACCUAGGGAUUAGGUAUACAGCAAACUCAAAAGGGGGAGAAUUCGCUUCUUGUUUAGGGUAAGUUACAUUGAAAGUGGUGAGUCUUAACUAAACUAGUUGUACAGCUGCUGAAAUUUGGUUGUAAGAGAAUGUGCAAAAAGACAGUCAAUGAAAGAAAAACAAGGGUGUACAAGUGUAUAUCUGCUUAAGCAACACUCUUUCUCCUCCCCUCUUGCAUUUCCUGUUAAUAGCCGUUCUCCAUUUUCCUGGAAAUUGAUUCUAGUCCUUCACUGUUCUAACUUCAUUCAUCAGUUUUUUCAGUUGUGGCGAGAAGCCGUUUCUAGUUCUCUACUGUUCUUCCUUUUCUUUGACUUUGUAAAUUUCAACAGGAUUAUAUAAAAUACAAAAUUCGUCAGAAGCGUGCUGAUACCAAGAAAGCACUGAAAAAUCUACUCUUCAAUAGUGGAGCCUCCAGUUCUGUAUUUGAGGUAGAUCCUUGGACACAUGAAUGAGAUUUCUAACUUUUCUGGUAACUAGAAAUCCCUCUCCAUUGACUUGUUCUGUUUUUAUGCAUGUGAAUCCACACUGACUUUUGUGUCAGUUUUUCAUGAACACCGUGCUUGAUGAAUCUUAUUGUUGUAUGUUUACUUCCAUUCAAAUCAUUAAUGUUUCCCCUUUCUCUGUGCUACAUUUGUGACUGCCUUAAGGUGGAGGAUACACAUUUUUUAGGUCUAAAAUCCAUUUUUCUUGUAGCAUACACUGAAAUGUUGAGUUGUAAAAUUAUCAGGGAGUUAUACAUAUCUUUCAGUGUUGGCUUAUCCUAUACUUGUCGAAUAGACUAAAAUGCAAGUUGUUUUUUUCAUUCACUUUUAAAAGUAGACAUGUAUUUGGUGCUGAGAUUGCAAGGAAUUAUUUACAUACUAGGGAGUAAUUUAGUUACUUCUUAGCUCUUGGCUAAUCAGACUGUUUUUGGGGAUUCAUCUUUUUCUUUUCAUAUCAGACUAGCAUAGUGGUAAUCUGGUUUAAAUCUAAGAGCUGAAGGGUUCAGGUCAUUCUGGGUUCCUGAAAGAGUUGCCGGAUUGCUCUGUGAACUGACCCCAGAGUAAGGUAUCGUGGAUGCCAGCAACUUUCAGAUGUUAAGAGUAGCGUCUGCUCGGUGCCUUGUGUAGGAUAGAUUGGUUUUUGUUUGUGGUAAAGAGCCUUGCUUUUUCUGGACACUCUUGAAAGAAGGUUAUGCCAACGAUCUGGUAACCCAUGUAAACAAUCUAUUUAGAUUUUAUUUUCAUUUUUUACAAGGAAUAGCUUUAAGAUAAUCUUAGAACUCUCAUCCACAUUAGAAGCAUUUGAGGAUUUAGCUUUUUCCUAUACGACACACAAGAUGUAUUCUGAGCAUAUAAUCUGAUGAUAGUUCUGGUGAGAAGAUCCGUGUCCUUUCCUGCUCUUGUGUCCAUGCUUCACUUUUGUUAUGGAUCAUCCUUCCACGUACUUCAACAUUGACUGCAUGGAGCAGGUUUUUAGAUUUUGCACCAAACAUACUCAGAAUUAUGGGUCAGCCAAUUAAAUGAGAGUAGAAGAUAUAUAUAAUCAUAUUCUUGCUUCCUUCUGCACUUAGAUUAUAACUCUUUCCAAUCAAAUCCUAUAUCAUAUGACACCAGGAUGAAACCAAAUGUCGUCUUCUUCAAUGCACAAGAAGGAAGAUGGGGAAAUUUACAUUCAUCUUUCCCUUCUUUACAUCAUUGCUGAAGAGAGCUAUAAAUAUUUUAAUACUGGUUAACUAUGAAGACCAUCUCUUGUACUUCAAAAGCUGGUGAAACUGAUUCAUUCCUCAUCAUAGAUUGCAGACUGAAGAAGUUUCUGCGAAGAACAUGUGGGGUACUAUUAGAAUUACAAGAGGGGGUUAGCUUCAGGUUAACUUUGACAUUUGCCCGACUGCAUCAGUGUUUGCUAAAGGUGAUAUAUCAUCGCCAAUUGAUAAAGAGAGGGGGUUAUCUUCCUUGUCUUUUUUCAUCUAGAUGGCAUAGUAGGAACCAACAUGAAACAAAGAAACUAGAAUUUGCAAAAGCACAAAAAAUUCCUUGUGUAGAACCCAUUUUUAAGUUCAUUAGACUCCGUUACUAGCUUCAAAAGGGGCUAAUUAUACCACCACCAAUUUUGAAUCUACACAUUUUAUCACCGAAUUUUAAUUUUACUAUGGCUGCUGGAAAAGGUCGUACAGCUUAUAUUUCAACUCAUCUGCCUUGGAAAGUGGGGUUGUUUAUCCAAAUAUUGAUAUUUUUAUUGGAAAUUAUUGAAAUAUUGUUGGUUUUAUUGAUCUUUAUAAAAUCUCUUAGAAAUCAAUUUCCUAGCAAUUGACUUCUUCUUUCCCUAUGACAUUUGUUCUUUUUCAGCAAAUCUUCCUCUUCUCAAUUUCGAGGAAAUUGACUUCAAAGUUCAUUCCUAGAAGUUGUUUUUCCUAUCUUGUGAGAAUACCAAUUUAAACCAGCUAUAUUUGUUUAAUUUACGUAAAGAAAAAAUAGCAUGAUCGAGGUAAAUGAACCUUGGAUAUGUAUUUAAAUAUUUAUAUAUGGUCUCAAUAGUGCAACUUUUGGUAAAGUUACUUUUUAUUUUUAUUGCCUAGCCAAAAACCUUAUAGCAGACAUGAAAAUAUUGCAUGACCAUGAAAUCUGGAUUUCCUUUCAAACAAAAAAAUAUCUUGGGUGUAUUAUGCGUACAUGGCACAACAGAGAUGUUUAAGGCCAGAUUGCUUGCUUAGAGAAUUUACAAAGUUGCUAAAAUGAGUUCUCUUGUUCACCUCUUACUUCAGGAAUGGAUAUCUGUCACAUUAUUGAUGUUCUGAAUUAUCCUCUUCACUUGUCUCUGUUCUCUUCUUUCUUUUCAUAGUAGUACUCAAACUUGUCAAUUUUCCCUCUUUGUAAAGCCCAAAAGCUAUCUUUUUGCUAACCUUUACAGUAUUGUUUUUCAUUUUAAUGUGUUAGUUUUUACACUAGUGAUUAUAGAUACUCAUUACCAAUGGUCAAUUGCUUCUAUGAUUUUCUCUUAACAACCCAGGAGACAUUUGCCGAAACAGAUACAACAUGGGAUGUGGAUGAGGAAGAACCUUUGGACAAGAAUGACCAAUCUAAGUCUUCUCAUGCUGCACGUCGUGCUGCUAGAGCUCAUCAUAGGAGAAUGAAGCGUGAGUUUCUAUUUUAUGGCCUACUUUUUGAUGCCAUGCGGGGCAUUUGGUCUUAAUAGAGUCCUCUAUCUCUCUUUCAUUGUGUUGCUCUGUAGCAUACAUACAUCAUAGACAUCUUAUUAGGUUGCUCUGGAGCAUACAUACAUCAUAGACAUCUUAUUAGAUGUGAUGAAAAAGAGCUGUUGUUUGUACAAAAACAUGCUCUGUAUUAUCAACGAGUUUCACUUUGGACACAUUUUCCCCAUCUUGAGCGACUCUUUGUUUUCCUUGCAUUUGUAUUUUGUUUAGUUCUUCUUUUUUAGGAAGGGCGUUGCUUACAGGAAGCGUAUUGACAUUCCGACAAACUAACAACGUGCUGCUGUAUAAGUAAUUUUAUAAUAUUGUAAACACGAAACCAGCAGACUAGUAUUUUAUUGCUUGUUUAUCACAAUGGGUUUAAGGUGAUUGUCCUAAUGAAAGCAUGAUAGACCAUGAUAUUUACAGAAAAAUUUCGUAGUAUCUAUUCAUUCCUUUCUUGUUUAAAAUGAAGACCAAGCCCUUUCCAUUUUCUCAUGCUUAACAAUUUUCCUGCAUCUUCAGGUAAGUUAAGAAGAGAGAGAAAGCAUGAAGAUGUUGAUGAUCCAGAAAAUAUUUUCCAGGCAUCUUUUGGGAAAAGGUGGUGUAGUUGGUCUUAUUGGAGAGAGCCCUCUUAUCAGAGUUUGGCAACUGGAUUUGACUUUAGAGAACAUUCCAACUGGAGUUCUAGAAGACCCAGAGAAUCAGAUAUUGAAAGUGAGGCAGAGUCUGAUACUGAGCCUUGCAUUGACAGCACAAAUUCUGAUAGAAAAGUUCUUGGUUUGCCCCUGAAAGGUCCUCUGCAGAUUCAGGAUGUUAAGAAUGCGUGAGUUCUUCAAGAGAGAAGUACUCUAUGUUCAGUAUAAUUUACGAUUAGUAUACAUGUAUGUACAACUUGUUAAAUUGUUGAAAAUUUUCUUGAUGUAGUUUUCGCUUGUCAGCUCUCAAAUGGCAUCCCGAUAAGCAUCAAGGCCCUUCACAGGUAAGUUUAUUUCUUGUCUAUUGAUUGUCUAUUAUCACCCGAAAUAUGCACAUGCAUUACUUGUGUUUAUCGUGAAAGAAACAUGUCAUACUUGUGUGACAGAUUUAGCAUUGCUGUAAAUCAGAAACUGGAACAAAUUCAAUACAAUACAAAUUGGAAGAAGGUUGAGAUAGUCCCCUUUAGGUUUUUAGAAAGGGAGGGCCAGAGAGUGGGAGGAAAGAGGAAGCAAUAAAGGAUAAUUGGGCUGCGAGAAUCUAAGCUAAUGCUAAGAAGAGGAAAUUGUACAUUUACCUUGGGCUAUAUAUUUCUCAAGUUACUGCUAUGAGUAAUGAAACUCUGUUCAAUCAUUUUAGAUUGUUGUUGGUUUUGUCAUUUUUGAGUAUUAUUUCUUCUGUGGUUGUUAAUCUGGAAGAGAAGUUCCUUUAAGCCCUUCUUUACCCUUGUUGUGUGCAAUAUGGGCUCCCUGCAACAUGAUUAUCUACUCUGUUGCAGGUAGCAGCGGAAGAGAAGUUUAAACAGUGUGUAGACGCAUACAAGUCAUUGUGCAGCUCACUCUCAACAGCUUGAGCUUCAAAAUUUUCAGUCCAUUUUCCUCUCAAUUAUUGGGGAUGAUAGGUGGAAGAGACAGGUGGGUUCUUCCUUGUGUUUAGUUCUGACUGCCCUUUAAAGAAAGCCAAUUAAAUAUAGAAAAUAGGCAAUUAGUAUUUUAGUUCACCCACGAUACAAAGCUUCAUUGCUAGCAUUGUAACUUUUGUUUCUCACUAGAGUAAUAAAGAUGGUUGGCCAUUUUUGUGUCAACAAUAUUGUUAGGUGGAGUAAAGGUUGUAUCAUUAAUCUUUUGCUAGAAACCAACCAAAAGUCAAUUGGGAUCAAUCCACAAAAUAUAAAGUGCUUUUCUUCUCUUCUCUCUAAAGCAACUGGCAACUAAUUCAUGGUUGGAUAAGAUAUUGAGGGCUCUUGAUGGAGAAAAAUGACAUAUUGGUUAUGUUUUACAUUGACAAGUUCAUAUGAAUAACUCCCAAAGUAAAUGGUACAGAUUGCCUGAUUAGGUCUUAAACUCUUGAGGGAAUGAGAAAAUGUGGGUAUAAAAUGGACUGGUGAAGCAAAUGUACAGCUCAAGAUGUGUAAUAUCAGCAUGGGAGAAUGUUUUGCUUCUUCAGUCCAAAAUAUUCAGUGUGACAGCAGCUUGAAAGAGUGUCUACACAUUCUGUCCAAGUUCAACUUUAUUGGUUCAGAACAUGAAUAUGUUGCUUUCUUAAUGUUUAUCAUUAAUUACAACAGCAUACAUUAUACCUUUCCUCAGCUAUUGAAGCCUUUGGGCAUCAUGUUCCUCUGUUGAGGUGUUGCAACUUUAUGCAGCUGCAUUAUAUACCCAAUAUAUAAGCUGCAAUAGGCAGUGAAAUAUGUACAACAUAUGAAUAAAGUUUUAGAGCUGAGACAUAUUCAACUCUUAUGGGAUGCAAGUAUCUGUUGUAAAACCUCAAAACUGAAUCUCUACUUGGUAAUCUUAUUCCACAUGUCCUGGCACCUUUGGUAUUUGGUUAAAAAAAAAAAAAAAACUUUCAGCAGAUGACAGAAAUGCUAAUCCAUAUUUGAUCUUAGCAGAAGUCAGAAAUUUGUCUACGCUGCUCAGCAAUUUACUGUCAACUCAUAGAAGAUGACAGGAUGUUGUAUAUAUUGAAGUAAGUUUGAACUUGCCAAAAAGAAAUAAAAGGGAUGCUUGUAUCAAGAAAAUCUAAGAUGGGCAUUGAUACUUGGUAGCGGGAAAACAUGUGUAAUUAAUAUCAUAUUUACAUGAGAAAAUGGCCAUUUAAAAAUGCAUCUCAUAUUUACAUUGAAAAAGUUUCAUUUUGUCGUCAACCUUUUUAUUUUAACUGUGCCAAUGACAUUAUUGAUGUUAAUAUCAUACAUGUUUCUUGAAGUUUUGGUAUUGAGACUUCGCUAUCCAAACCUGAACAUUUCCAUCUGACUCGAAACAUUUUUUAUGUUGCCAUUCAAAAUUUAACACCAAAACCACAAAAUUUUUUUUUGAUAUAUAUAUAUAUAUAAGUAAAAGUUUGGAUGAAUUCGACUUAGGUGUCAAACAUAUAUCCGAAAGCACAUGUCACUUAUGGGGGGAUUUUAUAUAGAUCAUCAAUUAACAUAGUUUUCAUAUUGGUAGCGAAAUUCUCGAACACCACUCCCACCGUUUUUUAAGAAAUAAGAAAAUAAUCCGUCCUUGCUAAAUUGAACAAACUUGUGUUCGCAGUGCAAAAGUAACAAGGUCUGGUUUAAACUUGCACCUUUGGUUCAUUUAUGCUGCACCCAGACAUCAAUGAGCCUUUACAGACGAAUGGCCCAUCAAACCAAACCCCAUUUUUCAGUAAUUUCUCCUUCUACCCCACCAAAAAAAGUUUUUUCUUUUUCCAAGUAAUCAUUUUUAGCACAGAUGAUAUGAACAAAAAUUUUCGCAGCACUAAGCAAUAUAAAUGUGUAUUUAUAAAACAAAACAUUUCCACAGAAUCAGCCAAAGGAGGAAAAAAAAAAAGUAAUAACCAAAAUCCUAAAACAGAUAAAUAAUAAUGAUAAUAAUAAUAAUAAUAGAGGAAAGUUAAUUUUAGGCUCUACUGAAGCUAGAAGCAAAGAAGAACAACAGAGGAAGACACCACAAACCCAUAAAUCAAGAUCAAGAACCCAAAAUGCAGAGCCCAGUUUCUCUUAAACUUGCCAAAAUAACUCUCCGGUGGUUCUUGAUAAGGCACUUCCAAUUCAUCUCCAUACUCAUCAAUUACCCCACCACCACCUCCGCCGCCGGCGCAGCUGCUGAUUUUCAUCCUGAGCUGCCUGAGCCUGUCAGUAGCCAAGCCAAGAGUCAGCUUGUGACACCUCCUCUGAUACUUGAACCCAUUGAUGCACCUAAGAGUCUGAGCCACGGAAACAUAAAAGAUCAGAUGAGCUAAAGAAAGCAAUCCAAUGGGUACCCAACAAUGCCGGCAUUGGAGCCUUGGGGACUGGGAUUGAGCUAGGAAGACAAGACCCAAGAAAAGGAAGAAAAUUUGGAAUAGUUUCCAAAGCUCCUUUUUCUGGACGUCUACUGCUCUUUUCUUCUCGAGGGUCUUCUCGAAAUGGAGUUGGAUUAUGGUGUUUAGUGCUUGCAGGGCUGCUUCUUUUGGGAUGAGAUUGUGGUGGUGUGCGGCAGCUGUGGGGUCGUAUUCCGCCAUUGCUGGUGGAGCUGAGUGGUAGUAAAUUGGUUGUUUGCGGGAAGGGACGGCUGGGAGAUUUGUGGGCUGUGGCCAGUGGGGCUGUUUUGGGGUACGAACCAACUUGGCUGGAAUAUCAAAGGAUGCCAUGCUACGUGCAAAUAUAUUAUGUUAUUGUUUAUCAUUAUUAUUAUUUGGAAAAACCUCCCACAUACUAUUACUCCAAUUGCAGUUUACACCCUUAAAGAUUUUUGUAGGAACAUUUAUAUUGAUUCACAUCUUUUUCUAUGAAUUAAAUUAGCAAUUGACUUGAAGCGUGUGAGGUGCAAAUUCAAUCUCUGAAAAACAAUUUGAGCAUAAUGUGCCUCGUUUUUAACGACCCUCUGUUUUCUUUUUCAACAAAAUAAGUUACCAGUGCAUUUUUCGUGUUUUCUUUAACGAAAUAAGCUAUUCAUAUCUUCCUUCCACACAGACAUAAAAUUUACGACUAAAUCUCACAAAUGUUUAGAAAAAGGAAAGGCAAAACAAUAAAAAUAAAAAUAAAAACCAAAUAUAAAAAUCCGCUAACCUCUCUCUUUUUCCAAUUUACUUUCUUAUUUGGACAACAACAAUACAACCGACAAACUCUAUUAGUACACAUAUAGAAUCAUCCUUUCUUAUUCGUGUUUGGUUGAGGCCUUUUUGCAGAAAAAUUAGUAGGCACACAAUUAAGGAAUAGUUUUGAUGUCCUAAACAAAUUAUACCUUGCCCAUUUUUAGUCAAAAAAUUCAGAGGAAUAUUAAUUACAAAAUCAUAGGAAAAUGACUACAAUGCAAAAUAAACAACUUCAAGAAAACUAAGAAGAACAAGUGGUAAAACAUCCAUAAAUUGUUCUUAGAUUCUCAAAACUACAUAUUGGAAGAAUAAACAAUAUUAAAAGACAACCUCCAAGGCAAUAGUGGUGUCCCUCUUCUCCUACCAAAUCCUCUUCCACUCUUUCUAUUUUGGUUUUCUUCCAUUUCUUUUCUUUUUUUAUGGGAUUUUUUUUGAGGUUUUUUUUUUUGUCAUGAAGAGAGAUAGUUUGAUGAUUUAGCGUAAGUUAGUUAUUUCCUUGAUUCAUGAUGGAUGGUGGUCACGUUUGUGGAGGAAGGAGAUGGCUAGAGGCUUGAAUUAAGGUGAUGAAAAUGAUGAGAAUAGUGUUGUAAUACGUCAUUGGAGCAGUUUUUGAUUGUUUAUGAGAAGAAAGAAGAAUGAUCAAAUGAUGCAUUUUAACUAGCCAUUCAACCAAUAACAUGGAGGCCACACACCGGUAUUUUCAUCAACAAAAUGCACGGUCAAAUUAACACAUUAUUACCAUUAUUUUUUAAACUGAGUUGAGGGUGUAAACUGUAAAGUGCAUAUAAAAUCUUUGAAGGGAUAAUCUGUAACUUUGGUAACAGUCUGUGGAGUUCUUUUGCAAUUAACUCCUGUACAUUUUUUCCAUAGACUCCUGUACAUUGAGUUAUAAAUUUUUGAAAAAUGUAUUGUAUUGAUUUUUUCAACGGUAGGGAAAGGAAUGUGGGCCAUAAUGCAUUGAGAGUGGGUGUCAGUGUCAGGCGAAAGAACAGUACUGAAACGCAGAUCAAACCAAAUGCGGAGAGGAGACCAAAAAAAAAAAAAACAGAGAAUGGUGCUGGGUGCAGUCAAAGAAACCUGCAUGAAUUUCAAAAAUUUCUUUAUCGUUUUCUUCUUCUUUUGAGACCAGUCCAACGAGUCAAGUUCUUAUGGUUAUAGGCUAUAGGGACAAGAGACAUGUGAUAAUCAUUUAUCCGCUUGUUGAACGGGUGCUCGUAGCUACUCGUUAAAAUAUGUAUUUCGGAUGAUAUAUUUUUCAAACUAUAUUAUUAAUUAAAAAUUAAUAAGUAUACGUAAGGAUAGAUAAAAUUUAAUAAGAAAAGUAUAUAAAUAUAAAAGAGAAUAAUAAUUAUUAGUACGUGUAUAAAGAGUACUCCUUAGAAAAAUUCAAUUGUUCUUACCUACUUGGAGAAGUGGAGAGUAUCAGGAUAGAAAUGAAAUAGUGAAAUUUAAACUGCCAAUUUAGGAUGAGAAAAUUGAAUACAAGCCUGAACAGUUGUCAGUAAUAACCGCUCGAAAUAAUGUAAUAUUUUUUGGACAAAGUAUAAUUCUCCGUGAAUUAUUUAUAAAAGUUAACAACAGAGAUAUAAUUAUUACAUAUAAGAUCCACAUGAAUAGUAAAUAGAAUAUCCAUAUGAACAGUAAUAGAAUAUCAAACAUCUAUUAUAUAUAAUAGAUAGAUAAAAUUUUUUUAUAAAAUUACAAAAUAUACAAAAAAAAAAUAUUACACUAUUCAAGUCCUUCCCCGCCUAUGAGAAAAUCAGUUGGAUUCUUGAUUAUGCAAGUCAUAGUUGUCAUUACUUUUGGCACGUUUUCACAGUUGCAUUAUUGUUUGUACACUUUCAUCAUUGCAAAGUCCAUUGGAAGUAUAUUCGCAUUUACAACGAAUUUUGACUAUUUGUGCCGCAGCCCAUAUCCGUUGGCUUUUUCUAAUGUUCAAAUUUUGAGUAAGGAGAAGAUAUUAAGGUACAUGUCAUGCAUUAUAUAACAAAUUAUACUUGAUAUGGAAGAUAUUCUUAGAGUUUCAAUAUUGUGAUUAAGUUUAUCAUUUUUUAGAUUUGUUGUUUCAAAUCUAUGUAUGUACGUUAAGUUGAUUUUAAAAUAUAUGUUUCAAUAUAUUGUUUGAUGUACUUACUGUCAUGAGUGCAGAUAUUGGAAUGAAAUCAUCCUUUUUAUCUAAAAAAAAAAAAAAAUUAUGCAAACAGUUCGUUUAACUAAUUAGUCAUGUUAUUAAUUAAAUCUAAUCCUUUUUCAACGAAAAAAGGUGAUGUUUAUUAAAAUUUGACAUGAUAACUAGCAUCCAAUUUUACUUUGGAUGCAAAAUUAAUAUGAGGUUUCUUGGCCCCUUGAAAUGAUGAACCGGAAGUGAAAAAGGAUUCUUUCCUAAGUGACCCGAAAAAAGUUUUUUUUUUUUUGGUGAUCUGAUUUUGAAAAGCAGUGAAAGUGUAAAAAAUGUUCAUCAUUGCUUGGCCGAACCUCCAACUUUGCCGAGGCAGGGUUAUAGGAAUCCUAUCGUUAUAGGAGUCCCCUCCUUCUCCCCUAGAUUAGAUUAGAUUAGGUUAUAUAAAUCCUAUCGUUGCGAUAAAAAAAAAAAAGUAAACAACGGGUGAAACUCGGGCCGUUAUAUCCGGCUUCGGAGUGAACUCUAUUGCUUAAGCCUUAAAGUAUCUACUGGAUCCAUUCAAAUCCGGGUCACAUUAUUGCAUUCUCAAACUGGCAAACUUUUUUUUUGGGGUAAGUAAGAAUUUAUUAGCAACUAAGAACCAAAAUAACAUACAAAAUACGUUUCAAAUCAAUAACUCUUACUUACACAACUUAUAUAUGAUGCUGAUGCUAAUUCCACAACGGUCUGAGAUACUUUGUGUACUGAAUGCAAAUGGAGUAGCAGCAACUAACACUAAAAUUUCAACUUGAAUAAAUGUUCGUUGGUAACAACCCAAAAACCUUUGUAAUCAUCUAUUAGUAUCUGUCUUCUUGACUUUUUUGAAAGAGGACAAUCUGCAUUUGACUGCCUCAAGGAUCUCUUCUUGAAUAACUUUUUGUAUCCCUGCAUUCAUUUUCGAAUUGCCUUGCAUUCCUUUCUUUCCAAAUGCAAUAAACAACAGCUACUAACAAAACUCUGCCUUGGGUUUUAGCAAGAGAUUUGCCUUUUAAGUUAAUUCCAAUCCAGUCAAUCAAUUUGCUCCAAUUGGUCUGAGGCCAUUGGACAGCACAUUUGGAUUUGAAAAAACUCCAAAUACUAUUAGUCACAGAGCAAUCAAAAGACAAAUGACUUGGUUUUUGAGGACGACCAUCCCAGCUCGGCUAUACCGAGUUCAAUCCUUUAUUAUUUGAGACGGGUCGCCACCAGUUUUGGUCACCCCGGCUAGAUAUCACGUGCGGGUAACCGAGGUAACUCCCACACCCACUGGUACCUCGAAUUGGUGCUGUGCUUGACACGACAUCCGAGGUCUUAUCUAAGAACCUAACAUUUGCAUGACGGACAAGACAUUUGACGAGACUUGUCUACAGCUCCGUCCUGUCAAAUCGGACUGGACACGCUCAGUCCCUGCCAGGUCUUAGGGAGUUGGAGCCCAUUAUUCCUUCCUCCAACUUGUCCCCUAUAAAUACCACUCUCCCUCAUUCAGAAAAGGAAGGAGGAGAAAGAUAGUAAGAACUCUAUUAUUUUCAUUUCCAUUACUCAUUUACCGGUAAACUAACUUAAUCAUUGGAGUUAUUCCGGGGAAAAAAACCCCGUUUAGUGUGUGUAUCAGGAAGAGUACAUCACCAAGUCCCUUCGUUCAGGAAGAGGACGUAUUAGGUCAGCUCGACUUGACCGUCCAAAAAUCACCUCUUCAGUUUUCAAUGUGAAGUCUACAGAACGUGCAACUCACAUUGGAGACAAUUCCCCAACUAAUUAGUCUAUCUUGAGUUGAGAAUCUUUGCUGGAUAAUCAACCAUAGUAUGAAUGCAUAUCUUGGUAUGGUAUUUGCCCACACAACCUUUGCCCAAGAAGAAGAAGGCCGUCUAAUUCUCAAUGUUUCCCAAGUUUGCUGGAUAGAAAACUCAGACUUGCCCCACAAACUCUUAUCUUUCCUGACGAGGUUUAGCUUCAGACUAGGUGGAAUAGAGGAAAUUACCUCAUGACAUAGCCAAUAAUGCCUACCAUGGCAAUUCAGCCAUCUCCAAUGUUCCCCGAAAAUAAUAUCACUGACCAUGAAUACAUCACUUUUAGAUAGAUUUCUUACCCAAACUUGAUAGCUGAAUGAAUGCAUCACUCUUAGACAUACAUAUUGAACCUCCGGGAAGCCAAUUAUCAUACCAUAGUGAUGUAUCUCUACUAUCUCCAAUCACAUGAAAAAAGUGAUUUGUCACUCUAUCUCUCAGUUUUAAUAAUUUCCUCCAUAUCCAAGAACAAUCAUAGGAUAUUUUUAUGGUCCAAAUACUCCUACCUUUCAAGAGAUAAGAAAAAACCCAAGUUAUCCAAAAAGACGAAUUGUCUCACUUCAAGAUCUCCACAGCAAUUUGCAAAUAGCUGCAGGAUUCCAUUCUUCAAUUCUCUUCACCCCAGCAAUUUGCAAAUAGCUGCAGGAUUCCAUUCUUCAAUUCUCUUCAACCCCAGGUUGCCUUCUUUUUUUGGGAUGCAAAUAUCCUCUAAAGCUACCUUAGCACCAGAAUGCUUAAGAUCCUUGCCCUUCCAAGGGAAAGAUCUCAACACACUCUCCACUUGUUUAAUGAUUUUUUUUUGGCAGGACAAAAGGACUUGAUCAAUAAACUUGCAUGAAAAACAGAACAGAAUUGAUAAGCUGGACUCUACCUGACCAAUAUACUUUUAAGUAUCGUGUUUGAGCAAAGAAUAUAAUUGACAUUCAUUGGUUUCUAAGGCUUUUUGCAGUAUUUUUAUAUUCAAAUCCUGAUCGAAUUCGAAGAGAAAAGUCUUGAUUUGACUCAUUUGCUAUAUCGAAUAAGUAGAUCCAGGUCCAAUCCGGGUAAUCAGAAUUGAGGGAACGCCAUGAAAGUCCAUCCACUUAGAUAUUAUACUUUUAGCUUUUGACUUACUUUCUUUUGUGUCCCAGCAACAAAAUUAAAAUGCCUAUUUUUUUUUUUAAAAUAAAGUUACGACUAACUCAAUGCUGACCGUUUAAGCUGGUUUAAUUUGAUGUUUUAAGGGAGUAAAACUGACCAACCUCAUAAGCUUGUUUUCAGUUGUUUUCGAUUCUUAAUAGCAGAGUCAAAAUUCGAAAGUAACUAUUUGGUACUUAUGAUUUUCAAUUUUUUGGAUUAAAAAGAAAAACUAAAAUCGAGUUUUGGGAAACAAUUGAGAGUAGAAAUUAGUUGACAUUUUUGGAAUAAAAAAAAACUAAAAUCAAGUGUGCAAAAUGAUUGGAGAACAGUGUAGCUAUAUUUAUGUGCACUUCUUUAGCUGGCUCCACACCUUGGAAGUCACCCUACUCACAACAUAUUAAGGGCAAAACUUUGAGAAAAGAAAUGCAUUCGUUUACGAUUGCGUACGAGUUGAAUGAAGUCAAGUUUUGAUUAAGCGAGCCGAAAUGAACCCAUUUUACUAUGUUCAACAUGGAAAUUAAAUACUAUCAUCAAUAAGCACCUUGUAGAACUUCGAAGAAAUCAAGAGUAAUACUGAUCAAGAAAGUUUCGACUUACUUCACUGCUAUUGAAACAGAAAUCAAUUACUAAAUCCAAAAGACAAAAAUUGAAAUAUACCAUUCUACUACCAAAGCUUAUAUAUAUGUGUGUGUGUAGCCUUAUUCUGCAGAUCUAUUGGUGUUCGGUAGAAAUUGCCUCGAGAGUUUGAGCUCUCAACUACCAUUUUCAGCAAACUCAAGAAACCUCUUCCUAUGUUCAAGUGUUAAUAAACACUAAUUCAAUGUAUGAAAACACUUAUAUCCAUAAGUGCGCACCACAACAAUCAUACUAAUUAUAUCAAAAGUUACCGGAAGGCGCCCCAAUCCCAACAAAUAUAAGGCAAAGUGAAAGAGAAAGGAUGCAACAUCUUAUACCAUUCAUCAUAUGGGUAUUCUGGAUUUUGAGGUGAUAUUGAGAUGGCCCAAUAUUUGAACUUGAAUUAUUAUAUAGUCCAUCAUUAACAACUUGUACAUGAUUUUCAAUGCAAUAUGUAGGUUCCGCAAUAUAGUGAUCUAUAUUUACCGUACUAUCUUCAGUAUGAUUUACAUUAGGCAGCAAAACUCAUGAAUUGGCCCGGUCUGCUUGAGCUCCAUCAACGUCAAGCUCAAGCAGCUUGAACUAGCCUUAAAGUUGAGUUUGAAUCCAAAUAUACUUGAUUUAAAGGUUUGUCGAACCUAAUAGUAUAAAAUUAGACGCAAGCCGCAAACUUGAAUUUGACUAAAUUCAAAUUUGAGCUCAAAUUUAAGUUUGAAUUUUACUAGGAGUUGACUCAAGUUCAAGCCUGGUAAAAUUAAAUUGAGUUUGUCCGAUUAACCAGAUUCAUUGCCAACUCUAACCAAUGGUGUUUCAGUUCUUUAAAACAAGCUUAACAGUUUGGCACUGUUGCACCCUUUAGUCGUCGUGGUCAACCUCUCUGCACUCUGUGCCGGUUGACUUAGGGGUUUUUUUUUUCUUGGGUAGAAAAGGAGGAGACUCAAUUGACUUUGGGUCUUGGCACUUUGUGCCCGUUGACUUGGGUCACUAUUGUUCUGUUCUAAAGCAAUUCAUUUUGAUGCUGUCAGACUGUUUUUCUUCUUUCACGAACCCCUAUCUAGAAAUCAAAAUUGUGAUUGGUUGUAACUUGUAACUAUGGCUGUGGGCCUUUUCUUUUUAAAGCUAACUGUCGCUGUGAGUUUAAAAGGAAUGAAAAAAAUAAACGCACUAUAAUAAUAUUAAUCUAGUGGCCGCGUAAAUUAGAGAUUUUGAAUUCAAAUCCCUCUUUUCCUCGUAAUUUUUUAAAUCUCACCUCUCAUUUGUCAAAAAAAAAAAAGUAAAUUUUGUAUUCUGCUGUCUACUGCGUGUAUUUACUAUUGUCUCCUUCAGAUAAAGAAACUAGUAGUAAAAUAAACUCCAGAACGAUAUGUUGUGGUUAACAGCGUUUUCAUGGAUUGACUUUGGUCCAGCCUUCUUAAUAGAAACUGGAAGACAUUGUGGUAGAUGGUAGAUGAUGAUGAUGAAAGAAAUACACAAAAAGAUGUAACAUUAAAACCGAAGAUACCUAAACGAGAACAAGGGGAUCCACCUUCUUCUCUUUCAUGAGGCUGAGAUUGCAGGAAUAGGUCAAUCCUAACUGGAUUAGACUUUGUGUGAUCCCAAUUUCGGAAGGUCCAGUUGUAUCGUCCCCACUGAUGUGUGAAAGUCAAAGUUUUCGGGCAUUUGAUCUUUGUUGCAGAACAUGCUUAGCAAACAAAUUGUGGUUGUUUACUUGUUGCAUGUGCAUGAUCAAGAUGUAUCGUGAUUGUGUUGUUGUUUAGCACAUUUUUUCAAGCCUUGGUAACUUUUUGUGUUUUCUUGAUGCAGUUAGUAAAGAGAACAAGCAAAUUUUCUUUAUUUAAGUUGUCUUUUUUUUCAAUAACAAUAGAAUAAAUUUACAUUACUUCAAACACUAGAAUCAUUAUGUAAGUUGCUGUCCUUUGAGUUCCAGUUUUUAAUUUGAAUUGCAAAAGCUUUUUUAGUUUGUGUUUUUAUUCUUAUUGAAUCCACGACAAUCUCUUCUAGUUAUAACUUAUAACCACUCCUGAUUUAAAGAUUACAAACGAGUUCAGUCGAAUUGAAAUUUAAUCUAAUCGAGUUGAGCUCAAUUUAAUUUUAUCAAACUCGAAUUCGAUGAGCUUUCAGUGUAAAGGUCGAGUUCGAGUUUGAACUCAGUUUCAAUCUAGUCGAGCUUAAAAAAUUAUUAUUUUUAUGUUUUAAAAAUAGAUAGAAAUGGACAUUUCACGCUAAUAAAUAAUAGAAAUAUUAGGGACAUGAAUGUAAUUUCACUACUAAUAAAGUAAGAAUAAAAAAUUAAAAAUAUAUUCAAGUCGGCUCAACUCAAUAAGCUUGUCCAACUAGUUCAAGUAGUUUUGAUCAAACCGGCUCGAUUGUUUUGCGGCCCUACUCUUAUAGUAGCAUCAUGUUUAGUGUCUGAUGUCUUGGGAGUCACAUGGAUAAAAUUUUGAUAUGUUACCUUCAAAUAUUUGAGAUCUGAUUGAAGCGAGAGUUCGAUAUGUCUAAAAUCUAGAUAAGCAAAGAUGUUUGAUAUGUCUAAAAUCUAGAAAUAAGCAAAGAUGUUAAGUAGGCAGUUUACUUACUCACAUCCAAAUACAAUUAGUGAUUGACAAUUACAUGUAAAUUUCAAAAUUACAGCGUUUGUGACUUCGCUAAAACCCAAAGAUAGAAUAGAAGCAACUCCCAUUGUCCCCUAUCUAGAGCAUCACCCAUGUGGUUUUCCCCUGAUCAGGGGAAAUUGUAACAUUGUUGAGUAGAAAGACAUAAACUAUACUGAAUGGUCCAUUUCCUCUUCGGUUUGGAUAUACACAUUCAGUUGUUGAUCACCCUACAGUUGGCCCGAAUCUCUCCAGCAUCUCCAGUCAGGACACCAAUCUGACCCAUUCUGACCAUUGCAUCAGCAAACUUAUUUUGCCAAAGAAGAGGGUUUUGAGCAUUUUGAAUCACUUGAUUUGCAGUUGAGGGAUUUGCCAAAAGAGUUUGGUCGGAAGUGAACAAGCCUCUGUUGGCUAGAAUGUUAUCAUAGUAACAUGUAUCCAUAAUGGUUGGGGUGGAAGGGUCCAUUGGCACCACUAAGUUAGGAUUGCUUAUGCUCCCUUGAGGGCACUGCUGUGCUAGCUGAGCUGCAUAUGAUGGAUCCAUACUCGGAUCCUGUGUCGUCGUGGUGUUGAAGUUGAAUAGUCUGUUGCUGAAUGAAAUGCAAUGUGAUCGCCCAAUGGUGUGUGCUCCUGAUCAAGUAAAAGUUAAACUUUCAAAUCAUAUACCUCAAUUAUACAUCGUGUGCUUUUCGGUUAUGUUGAAAUUGAUGUCCCAUGUCUUACCUGAAAGCGUUACCAUUUCAUCAGGCCGAAGUCCCUUAUUUGCAAAUGCUUGAAUGAGUUGGUUGACACCAAGGGCAGGAGAUGGCAAGUUUGCUGAUGCCUCUCUGGAUGAUGAGAUUCUGCCGUCUCUUCUUCCUGCAGGAACAUCGUAGCCAGGCCCUCCUGUCUGCAGGAAAAUACAAAUUUCAUGUUCUGUGCUUUAGGAUGACCAAAUAUGAAAGCUGAAGAAGAAUUAUAGGUCUCACUAUUUCCACACUGUCCCUUGCUGCAUAAGCAAGUAUAUCAGCACAUGAGACGAUUCCUGGACAUAAGAAUUCGAGUCUACUUUUUGCAUCGUCAAUGACUUCAAAGCCUCGAAGACUAGGAUUAUUUGCUGGUGCAUCUUUCUCUGCUUGAUUUGAAGGAGUGGAAUCAAUAAGCACCGAUCCGUCACAUCCCUGUAGAACAACAAAGAAGACAGACUAAAGGUUAUGAAUCCGGGAUCCAAAACAUGAUCACUGUCAUUAGCUGAGGAGAUAAUUCGCUUUCUAACAAUCCAAGUAUCUUGCGAAAGUAAAGUUCAAGUUAGCGAUCAUUGAUCAACUUACUAAUUCAAACAGCUCUAGUUUGUCAAAUGCCGAAUUUUGAAACUUAAAUGCUGGAAAGGAUUAAGUGACAAUCAGCUCUACUCACCCGAACAAAACAAUCGUGGAAAUGCAUCCUAACUAGGCCUGCAGCGACUCCCCUGUCAAGAAUGAACGCAUCCCUUACUUCUUCUUUGAUCAUAGAUUCUACAAAGUCACACACUCCAUUAUAAAACCCCACUUGGAGCUGAGCAUUUAAGGGAAUUACACAUUGGUAUACCACUAGAAUAAAAGUUGACAAUAUAAAACUUAGCUUAUUUGAGGCCAUUAUUGCUGUGUCUGCAGGGUUAUUGGUCUCAUAAUUCAGAUACUUAUAGGGAAUUUAGUACAGUAUCAUGCUAAUUACUAUUUACGUAAUUUGGGCUAAUCAGCCUAUAGUAUUUUUAAUCUUAUAAUGCGAUGUUAAAAGGCAGUAAGCUGUAAAGUCGCUUUUCCUUGGUUACAUGAAAAUCAGCAAAAGUGUUCUUAUUGAGAAGAAGAUGCAAAACAACUGGAGUGGGGUCUGACCACAAUUACUCGUAUAUCUUCCUGUUAAUACUAUGCUAGAUCCUAAAGGCCCUGUAAAGGGGGGCUGUUUAAAAAGGUUUAUGCAUCAGCUAUUUAUCAAGUCCAAUUGUGUUGACUUCCAUGAGAAAAAUCCAAGGAUAGUGGUUAAAGAUGGAAAGUUCUUAUCCAUUCAAGAUCCUGAGCACGUACAUUGUUUAAAGCUCACUGAUUAAAUCGCAUUUUGGAUUUUGUGCUUUCUAUCUAGCAUGCAACAGGACUUGAUUGGGAGCAUUCUAUGAUCUCAUUUACAACUUUGUGGUGUCAAGUGGUCCUAUCUUGUUGACUUUUUCCUUCUUCUUCUGAAGUAUUAAAUUGAGCAAUUGUUGGUGGGAUUUAGUUGAGCAGGUUAAUUUAUCUAUUAUUGAAGAUAAAUAGCCUUGCUCUGAUUCCUGAUGAACAACGCAAAUCUGCAGAGAUCUGCUGGAGGCAAAAAUCAUGCAGGAUAAUGACGCUUGCUUAUGUGAAAAUAAUGAUCACAUGCAUAAUACAACUGCACAAUGACGGCUACUUGAUUGAAAAGGAUGAGUCGUAUUGUUAAUUCAAUUUGAUAGACCAUUAACAUGAAUGCCGUGUAACGCGAGUUCGUGAUUAGAUCUUCUGAAGACCACCAUCCCUAAGUUUAUCAUCUACAAACGACCAGACCAAAAGAAUGAAGUCUGCGAAUUUCUUUUUCAAUUUCCACAAGGGGGAUUGUUGAGAUAUGCCACUUCUUUGCACAACCCUCUAAAUUCUUUUGAUACGAGAAUAAUUUAGUUAGUUGUUGAAUAAAUAUAGUUGUUAGAAUAUUUAUUAACAGAAAAUCAUGUUGAGUUAUUAACAAAUAUUUUUGCUAAGAUUUGUUAAGUAGAAGAUUAUCUUAAUUUGCUAGUAAGUAGUUUUGUUGAGAUUUUUAUGAAGAAUUGUUAACUAAAAAUUAUGUUAGUUUGUUGUUUGUAAACACUAUAAAUGGUGAUUUGAUGAAUGAGGAACAAAAGCUCAAUUUCACCCCACAAUGCAAGUGUUACUCAACUAUUGUGUUGCAACACUAAGUCUAAGACUUAGUGUUGUUUCUACCCUAAAUUCCAAUAAAGUAGAAUCAAGAGUCUAAGCCUUAAGGGAUUGUGUGUGUCUUUCUUGAGAGUGAGUGAAGGAUCCCUUUUCCGGUGUGAAACUAAAUACUUAUGGCUUGUGAAAAUUGCAAAGAAAGCUUGAGAUGCUUUCAAAGGGACUUUCUAAGGCAAUAAUAGAACAAGGCAAAUGCAAAUCUUGAAUUUUAGGAGGACAAAUAAGCUUGGAUGGUUGUCAACAAAAGGAGGGCCAAUUUUUCGUGGCUACUUAUUUUGCAAGCAAUAAUUCCAGUGCUAAAACUUGAUUAAUAGUUGGUGGUUAGUGGUUACACUCAUUGCAUGGGAUAUGAUGAAUCGAUAUUUUGAAAACUUGACAAAUCACAUAUCUCCAAAAUCAGAAUUGGAAGAAAAGCUUAUAUUGAUGUGAAAGGCAGAUGUAGUGUUGCUGUUAAUUAUGGUUCAUGUACCAAAAUUAUUUCUGAUGUAUGUUUUGUGUAUAUCUAAAAUUAAUCAAAAUUUGUUGAAUAUUGGACAGUUGUUGGAGAGGAAUUAUUCUAUCAUCAUCAAAAAUAGAACUUGUGUUAUCUAUGAUCCAUGAGCUUCUCUCAGUAAAAAUGAGAGGAAGAAAUUUUUCUUUGAAUUUGUCAAAAAUUGGCAAUUCUAAGGUAUAGCACAGUGACCCCAAAAAUUUAGAAAUUGAUAAAAUUCAGAAAGUGAUCAUUGAUUAGCCAAUCAAAAGAGUUUAUGUUGUGAAGAUUCAUGAAAAGAUAUCUAAAGAUGAUGGUGGUGACAAAUUAUCGAAUAGCCAUAAAAAAAUUUGAAGGAUUGUUUUGUCUCUCAUAAUAAUUAUUUUGUAGGUUGCGAAUUUCUUACACAAAUUUAUCUACUAUAUACAUAGAAAUUAUUUAGAUACGUCAAGGAUAUUAUCACUGAUUUUGAAGUUUGGCCCAAUAAAUCCAAAGAAUAGUUCAUUAGCUUGCAAACAUUUUUACAAAGGAUUCAUCAAAAAAAAAAAUAAUGUUUGAAGACUUAAAAACAGUUGGGGGCCUAUUGCAAAAGUAGCAAGGAGUAAUGCUAAGAUAAGUCACUUCUUAGCUUUUUCCAGAUUCUUUUAUUAUUAGAAUAAUUUAGGUAGUUGUUGAAUAAAUAUAGUUGUUAAGAUAUUUGUUAAUAGAAAAUCAUGUUGAAUAGUUAACAAAUAUUUUUGUUAGUAAAAUUUAUUAAGUAUAAGACUAUGAUAAUUUGUUAGCAACUAGUUUUAUUGAGAUUUUUAUGGAGAAUUGUUAGUUGGAAAUUAUGUUAGUUUGUUACCUGUGAACAUUAUAAAUAGUUAGUCAAUGAAUGAAGAAUAAAAGCUGAUUUCCACCCCUCAAUACAAAUCUUAGUGAGCUAUUUUUUUCAACACUAAGUAUUUGUCUAGCAGUCUAUGCUGUAAAACCCAACAGGCAUUUUGUUUAAGGACUAAUUACUCAGUUCCACUGUUGUUACAUUUUUUGCCAUCAGUCAAUUCCACUGUUGUUACAAUUUUGCAAUGCAUGGCUGCCUUCUUUGUUUUCCAUUUCCAUUGGCAAAUAGCUGCAGUUCUUCUAAGAAGUCAAAAUUGUAUAGCAAGUUCAAAAUUUUAUAGGCAAGUUACAAUUUGGCAGUCAAAUCCCUCUCAUCUUUGCCAUUUCAGCCCCAUGCUCUGCAAGUGACAGAGUUCCCUGAAUGGUUGCAUCAGUACAAAGGAGCCUAAGAAUUUAGAUCAAUUAACUGAGAUGAUGAUGAAUGGGACUCUUUUCAUCUUUCCAGGGGGAUCUGUUAAUUAAAGAUUACCUGAUACAGCAUGAUUUUGAUGCCUGAUGCAGUCGAGAUUUCGUGAAAGAAAAAAAAAAAUCCAUGAGUGGGAGGAAUAGUAGGGGAGAAGAAAAAGCACUCUUGUUACUUGGAGAAAUGAACUGGGAAGCAGGCUGCAGUUGGAGGUACAAUUCAGAAUAUAACAAAGUAUUGAAACUUUUGUUUUUUUUUUUUUAUUCUCAUUAUGUUUUCUCCCUCCUGAAGGCUUCAAGAAACACACCUUCUUCUCCUUGCUAUGUGGAAUGAUAGUAAUUCAAUCAAACAAAAGGGUCCAAUUAGAAAUGAAAAUAACUUCUUGCUAAAUCCUGAUAAAUGGAUAUCCCCUAACAUGUUUACGGUGGGGGGUUUUGGCAGUUGAGGUCAAGAUCAAAGCUUUAAGGAUUUAUGACCCUGCAGUUGGAUCGAAUUUCUCCAGCAGUUCCAGUAAGAACCUCAAUCUGACUCAUCUUUACCAUUGCAUCAGCAAAAUCUUCCUGCCAUUCUCGCUCGUUGAAUGCAUAUUCUCUGACUUCUGAAAGACUCUCUGGGCUGGUGAUGAGGGUCUGGUCGGAUGUGAGAACAACACGGUGUGCCAAGAUGUCCCUGUAAUAGCUAUUCUCGAAAAGAGCUGGACUCCUAUUCAUCGGCACCACCAAGUUAGGAUCAACAUCUCCUUGAGGGCCUUGAGGGCAUUGUAUCUUCAGUAGUGCAGCCAAGAAGCGGUCCAAGCUCGGAUCUUGACUGUUUGCUGGGCUGAAAUCGUAUAACCUAUUGCUGAAUGAUGUGCAAUGAGAGCGACCAAUUGUAUGCGCCCCUGUACACAAACAAAAUUCUUAGCAUGUUACUUAUGAACAAAUAGAUUAUGCAAAACCAAAAUAAAUCAGAAUUCAGACUUGAGCUUCACCUGAAAGUGCAAUCAUCUCAUCUUGGGUCAUAUUCUUCUUAGCAAAAGCCUGAGUGAUUUGAUCUAAAUUUUGAAAGGGUCCAGGAAUGUCUAUAGUCUCUGCAGCACGUGAGAUACGUCCAUCUCGCCUGCCUGCUGGAACACCCCAUCCGCGGCCUCCAGUCUGCAUAAUAUUCCCAGACAAAACAAGAAGUGCUUUUCAUUUUCUAGUCGAACAAAUCAGUAUGUGGUAGCAUCCAAUUUAACAAUUUUCUCAUGUAUCAACCAGCCAAAAAAUCUAUUACUAUUGCUUUUCUUUAGACAUUGUUGGUGUUUCACUCACAAUCACGACAGAGUCUCUGGCUGCAUAUGCUAAUAUAUCAGCACAGGACACAACUCCUUUGCAUUCUGCUUCAAGUCUGGCCUUGGCAUUGUCAACUACUUCCAGACCGCGAAGAGUGAUGCCAUUUGGAGGACCGUCCUUCUCUGCUACGUUUGUUGGUGUUGAAUCAAUGAAUAAGGAGCCAUCGCAACCCUGAAAGCCUUGUUAAAUUAGUACUAAUUGCUUGUUUAUGUCAUAGACUUUGCAUACUUUUUGUGACAAGAUGAAAACCUGAAACAAACUAGUUUCCUUGAAAAAACUUGACACUUGGGAGGCAUUACCCGAACAAAGCAAUCGUGGAAAUGAGCUCUGACGAGACCAGGAGCAAUUCCUUUAUCUUUGAGAAAGGCUUUGAGGACUUCUUCCCCUAUGAUUGAUUCUGUGCGAGGACAUCUACUGUUGUAGAAUCCCACUACUAGUUGUGCCUUAAUUUGAGAACUCAGGCAUAAAACAGUUGCUAACAGUGUAGCCAGCAGUGCCAUUUUUUGUUCUUGACACUGAUAGUGGUAUGCUUGAUAGUGAUAUGCAUCUAUGUUACUACAAGAGUUAUAUAAAGAAAUCCAUCUCCAUCACCAGGAAAACUAGCAAUUUCCAAGGCAAUAACGGCUUCAAAACAGAUAGCACUGGAAACAAGAGGAAAUGCCAAAUUUCGAGUUAAGUCCAUUCUUCACUCACGGUUAGAAGGUGUGGCCUAGAUCCCUAUUUCAUGCUUGCUUAGAAAGGAGAUUCAUUUCCCAUGACAAUAAAGAAUGAUUUGCAUAUGAUCUUAAAUGACUCUCAUUUACUAGUUACUGGACUGGCCAAUUCCUUGUUUUCAUCACAGACAUGCAGAAAUCCUAGUUGUAUAAGCUCUAACCCCAGUUUUUAAAGCUGCAAUUUCUUUAUUUAAUUUCUUGUUUGCUACUCAGAUGUUUAUCAUUCAACUUUUCUUAGUUUCAACUGAAAUGCAAGAAUUAUGGCAAAGAAUGACUGUCUUCUUGUUCUCUUUUUCCCUGCGAGAAAAGAAGGCUUUGAUAGGGCAAUUUAACGUAACAUAGUGGUUGACUAAAUAUUUUUUUCUAAUAUGCAUGCAAGCAAUAGACUAUUGCCGCAAUAGUAUGCUGAAGAUGAAGAACUUUUCAUUCAAGCACUUUAUCUUCAAUUCUCAAUUCUCCUGUCACCAUUAAUCAAAUUUUGCAUAUACACACUUGAUUGACAAUAUAACAGUCCAAUAGUUGAUGGAUUUUUAUUCUUGUAUAAUAAUUCAUUUUCCACUUCCUUUCCUCUCCCCUUUCUUGCUUUCUCAUACUAAAUGGAGGUGAUGUUAGCACUCUCUUUGAACCUUUUUCAUUUAUAUGAAAAGACAAGCAUAUCUCUAUAUUUCAUCGAAUUAUAACAUGGAGAAAGUGGAUGGUUUUAAGUUUAACUAAAAUUAUAUGGAUAUUUGUGAAAUUUUUCAUGUGAUUACAAAAAUCGAUAAAAGUGUUAUUGACAAAUAUAACAGUGCCACUAACAAUUUCUUUGUUCUGCUUUUAUAUGUUAUUAUCUUAGUCCAUAUAUUGUUAUUUCAAGGGUUUUUAACAGGUCUGCGAUGCGAUGUCCUUAGAUGUUCUGAGCCGCACAAAAAGAAAAAAUUGUUAUCUUAAUGUUUACACCUUGUGAAUACAUUGGCAAUCCACAUGAUUUGACCGCAUAAUUCAGCAAAUCUGCAAAAGAAAAUCGAUCUGGUCACGAAGGGCUGCCGAUUUUUAGGGAUUGGGACAUCCAAGUUGUUGAACUUUAACUUCAUCAAGUAUAUUUGAUGACCCAUAUGAUUUUUUUGUCUCCAUGACUCCAUGCUGUUCGUUUCUUUUGAUAUAUAUAGUAAUUGCAUCAACAGAUAGCUAAAACCAAAUUCAAAGUUUUUUUUUUCUUUUUUGGUCCCUAUCUUUCGUGUGAACCUCUAAUUUGUCAUCUGAUUGCGUUUUAUUCUUGCAAUCGAAGAAAAUCAUUGAUUUCAAACUUCAUACCAGAGAUUUCAAAGAAGAAUUUAUUUCGAUUUUAAUUCCACUAAUUUGAGAUGUUUUUAGCUCCCCACUGCGUCAGAUAGGCCUGAGACGCUCAAUGGAAUCAUGUGUUGCUGGAAUCUUUUGUUUAACACUGCUGUAACUCUUCAACAACCACCUCUCUAGGUCCUGUAAUUGCUGUCCAAUCUACUUCUUUGAUACAGACAUCAAAAGCCCAACCUUCUCAAAUUCCCAGUCUACUCUUCAGGUAACAAUAAUGAGUGUAAUUUCUGAUAUUCUUGCUCCCUGCUUCAUACUCUUAUCUCCAAACCCAUACUACUGUUUGUAUAUUUAUAGCAACUUGAGAUACACAUGAGCGGACAAAGUAAUACACAGCAUGCUUGAACAAAAGAUGGGGUACCACAUCAACCAUUGACUGAAACAGGUAUUAACCAAUGAUGCUUGGCCACCUAGUUUAUUAAAUAGCAGAAAGAAACAUCAACAAUCAACUCUCAACUUCUAUUACAAGACAUACAAUGUAAAAUUCAGGAACAAAACUGCAUUAGCACUCAGUGAAAUACUACUGAUGAUUGUAGCUCCUAAUCAUAUUCUCAGCUGUGUCACUAUUUACGCUAAAGAAAAUGACACAAAUAUACAUAUCUAUAAAGAAGUAAUUCCCCAUAAUGGGCAUUGGAGUAGGCAUGAUUUACACUCUGUUG
rnacentral:lncRNA from 1 species